GCGGGUGCCCAGCAAGCCCCUGACCAGCGGAGACACUGUUGUAGCGAUCUAGCCUUCCAAGCUGGCCAUGCCGGUUCGAUCCCGGUCACCCGCUCCA
rnacentral:tRNA from 1 species